rnacentral:lncRNA from 1 species
GAAGAUGAUUGGCAGAGCUGAUUUGGUCGAGGGACUAUAUGUUUUGAAGGGAGCUGCAUCAAGCUACAAGGCUGCUCUAAGCUCUCAGAUUAGUAGUACAGACGAUAAAGUUAUGUUAUGGCAUAGUAGGCUUGGUCAUCCAAGUUUUGGAUAUCUUGAACGAUUGUUUCCGAGUUUAUUUACUAAUAAAAGGUCGAUUCAAUACAUCUGUGAAGUCUGCCAAUAUGCCAA